GCAAGUCGAACGAGAACGGAUUAUAGCUUGCUAUAAUUGUCAGCUAAGUGGCGCACGGGUGAGUAAUAUAUAGAUAACCUGCCCUCUAGAAAGGAAUAACAGUUGGAAACGACUGCUAAUGCCCUAUAUGCCUUUAAUACAUAAGUAUGCAAGGGAAACGCUUUAGUGCUAGAGGAUGGGUCUGUAUGGUAUCAGUUAGUUGGUGAGGUAAUGGCUCACCAAGACUAUGACGCCUAACUGGUUUGAGAGGAUGAUC
rnacentral:rRNA from 1 species